GCCCAUGUGAGGCCAAGUCCAACAUUAGUGAUCCAGGAUGAAGAAGGGAAAGAAUUCAGCCAUCCGCAAUGACACCGAGGUCUCAGAGAAUUGAGAAUGCUCAGAGUACUGAAGUACCGAACCCAGAGCCUCCUAAGAGCCCAGGCCCUGUUGCAGAAUGUCCCUCCUGGGCCCUGGAUCUGAAGGGGCCUCACACACAGCUCAUCACCUCUGAAGCACCAUGAACAAAGCAGCCCGAUGAGAACUCCCGGCAGACAGCUCCUGAUGGAGAGACCAAAAGUGUGGAGUUGUGAAAACAGGGCUUCUGAUAACAGGCGGGUCAGAGCCAGUGCCUUUCUAAGGUCAGCUUACCUCUCACUGAAACUGCAUCCGAAAAUAGGAAGGGCACGUGGUGUCAGAGGAGGCUCCGUCAAGGGCUGGUGUUGCCCUAAUGUGUCCCAGAAGUCCUCAAGUAGAAAAAUAUAAGAACAAUUUUUCCAAAUAAUCACACUUAAAACCUUAGUUCAUCUCUACCUCUUCUUUCUGAAGGACACUAAGUUACUUCUCUAUUGCUGUGACAAAAUACUAUGACGGUGACAACCUACAGAUGAAGGAGUGUAUUUGGGUUUACGGUUCCAUCAGGAUUAGCAUCCAUGAUGGACAGAGCAAAUGCGUGGCGGUUGGAGCUGGAAAUGGAGGCCGCAUGGUCAACCUCAAGCAGGAAGCAGAGAGUGAACUAGAAAUGGUACAAUGGUACAAGUCUUUAUGCUCUCAAAGCUUACCUUCAGUGAUGUCCUUUCUCCAGCAAAACACAUCUUCUAGACCAAUUCAGGGGGGUGGCAUUAGAUUCAAAUGACGACAGACCAUUGUCUCACCAGAGGAGAUGCCUUAGACUCUAGUCUGAGGACAGAACAUGAUUGCAAGUCCUGGGUUUGGAGUCAGCCAAACCUGGCCUUGAAGUCUAGCCCUAUCACUUCCAACACAGACCAAACCAACUUACCUGAUGCCCCAGAGCCUACAUUACUGAUUUGGAGACUAGGGUAGGAAAGAUGGCUUCGUUAAUAAACAUGCCUGCCACCAAGGCU